UCCUCUUUACAGAGGCAGUUUGUUCCGAGUCCCCGACACUACUCGCUGGUAACAGAACAUGAGGGUUGCGCUCGUUGCGGGACUUAACCCAACAUUUCACAACACGAGCUGACGACAGCCAUGCACCACCUGUGCUUCACCCUCGAAGGCGACGCCUUUUGGGGCGCUUGCAGAAGCAUGUCAAGCCCUGGUAAGGUUCUUCGCGUUGCGUCGAAUUAAACCACAUGCUCCACCGCUUGUGCGGGCCCCCGUCAAUUCCUUUGAGUUUCAGCCUUGCGGCCGUACUCCCCAGGCGGGGCACUUAAUGUGUUAGCGCCGGCCCUCAAGGGGUCGCUCCCCCAAGGACCUAGUGCCCAUCGUUUACGGCAUGGACUAC
rnacentral:misc_RNA from 1 species